CCUACGGGGGGCAGCAGUGAGGAAUAUUGGUCAAUGGGCGCUAGCCUGAACCAGCCAAGUAGCGUGAAGGAUGACUGCCCUCUGGGCUGUAAACUUCUUUUAUAUGGGAAUAAAGUGCAGUAUGUAUACUUCUUUGCAUGUACCUUAUGUAUAUGGAUCGGCUAACUCCGUGCCAGCAGCCGCGGGAAUACGGAGGAUCCGAGCGUUAUCCGGAUUUAUUGGGUUUAAAGGGAGCGUAGGCGGGUUGUUAAGUCAGUUGUGAAAGUUUGCGGCUCAACCGUAAUAUUGCAGUUGAUACUAGCAUCCGUGAGUACAAUAGAGGAAGGCGGAAUUCGUGGGGUAGCGGUGAAAUGCGUAGAUAUCACGAAGAACUCCGAUAGCGAAGGCAGCCUGCUGGACUGUAACUGACGCUGAUGCGCGAAAGUGUGGGUAGCAAACAGGAUUAGAUACCCGGGUAGUC
rnacentral:rRNA from 1 species